AUGGGUCAGCAAGUUAAUUUAGAUGCAAGUGGUAUAAAUAAUUAUAUAUGGUAUAAUCUAUAUAAUUAAAUUACCUAAGAUAAACCAAUUAUGAAAAAAUGAUAAGUAUCUAAAAUUAGACCCGAAGGCUAGUGAUCUUACCAUGAUCAGGGUUAAAAAGGCCCGAACGGGUUAUCGUUGUAUAGAUAUCCGAUGAAUUGUGGUAAGUUAGUGAAAGAUAAAACUGACUAGUAUAGCUGGUUUUCCGCGAAACCUAUGUGAGUAGGUAAUUUAAUUAACAUCUUAGCAGGUACAGAACUGUGAUCUCGGACAAUAUUAUUUUUAUAAUACUUGUUUACAUCGGGGGAUUGUAGUGAUUUUAUCGGAGAGUAUUUGCACUCGGAAGGGCAAAGAUGAAUAUUGAAUAAUCGGACAUAGUACGAUAAGGUUGUAUGUCUAAAGGGAAACAGCCCAGAACAAGAGUUUAAGGUUCCAAAAUUAUUGUUAAGUGAAAUUAAGGAUGUUUUUUUCAAAAACAAUCAGGAAAUAGGCUUAGAGGCGGCCAUUUUUUGAAGAUCUCGUAACAGAGCACUGAUUAAAUUUAAUAGGAAAAAAUACCGAAAAUUUAACGGAUCUAAAUAAUAUACCGAAACCUUGUACACAAUAACUGUGGGGUAGCGGAACAUCGGAUGUUUGAAUAAUUAGUAUAUUUAUUUUAUUAAGUAUACUUACACAUAUAAGUCAAAUGUAUUGUUUAUAAAAAAAAUAUAUUUAUAUAUUUUUUUUAUAAAUUUUCAUUUUUCAUAGAUUGGCUCAUAUUUUGAGUUUGACUUAUAUUGUUGAGAGAAUUCCGAUAGAGAAUGCUGAC
rnacentral:ncRNA from 1 species